GAUCAACGUCUUGGAAACUUCCGAAAUUGAGCAAUGGAGAGGCACCUGGAAUGCCAUGUGUAGGAGUAAAAUCCGUAGAUAUAUGGUAGAACGCCAAAAGUGAAGACAGGGUGCUAGACAUUCGCUGACACUGAGAGACGAAAGCGUGGGGAGCAAAGGGGAUUAGAUACCCCCGUAGUCCACGCCCUAAACGAUGCGUGCUCGAUGUAGGAGAUUUUCAAUUGUUUCCUGUGUCUAAGCUAACGCGGUAAGCACGCCGCCUGGGAAGUACGGUCGCAAGACUAAAACUCAAAGGAAUAGACGGGGACCCACACAAGCGGUGGAGCAUGGGGUUUAAUUCGAUAGUAAGCGAAGCACCUCACCCAGGCUUGACAUCCUAGGAACCCCCCAGAAACGGGGGGGUGCCGCAAGGAACCUAGAGACAGGCGCUGCACGGUUGUCGUCAGCUCGUGCCUUGAGGUGUACUGUUAAGUCAGCGAACGAGCGCAACCCUCAUCCUAUGUUGAUUUUUCAUGGGAGACUGCCGCCUCCAAGGCGGAGGAAGGUGGGGAUGACGUCAAAUCAGCGUGGCCCUUAUGCCUGGGGCAACACCCGUGCUACAAUGGCUGGUACAAAGGGCAGCGAACCCGCGAGGGGGAGCAAAUCCCGAAAAGCCAGUCUCAGUUCGGAUUGAAGUCUGCAACUCGACUUCAUGAAGUUGGAAUCGCUAGUAACCGUGAAUCAGCUACGUCACGGUGAAUAUGUUCCUGGGUCUUGUACUCACCGCCCGUCAAGUCAUGAAAGGUAG
rnacentral:rRNA from 1 species